CUCAAGAUAUAUGAAGUACUGGCAUGUUGGAUCGAUGUGGCUCUACAUUUGCUAAAACAAUUCUCAUUUUCUGAGAACAAAUCUGAAAUCAAUGAUUGUUAGAUUUUACUUGAAGCAUUUGUCUCAUAAGAAUGAGUUGGAUUGAGCUCAUGGCGUAUGACCAAAUGAAGAGUGAAGUUAGUUUAUCGAUGGUAUAAAUAUUGCAAACUUGAACUUUCCAAACUAUGGAUAAGAUAAGGUGUAAUAGGCAACUCAAUUGCAAUUAUCUUGGACUUCUUUUUACGUAAAGAACUUCUAUGUUUCAUUCAAUUAUGUAAGCAAGCACAAAAAUGUCUUGCCAAUGUUAACUUCAGCGGCUAGACAAGAAGGUCGGUAUUAUGUUUA